rnacentral:tRNA from 1 species
GCCUGGGUGGCUCAGUUGGUUAAGCAUCUGACUUCGGCUCAGGUCAUGAUCUCAUGGUUGGUGGGUUCAAGCCCCAUGUCGGGCU